rnacentral:rRNA from 1 species
CAAGAUUAGCCAUGCAUGUCUAAGUAUAAGCAAUUAUACCGCGAAACUGCGAAUGGCUCAUUAAAUCAGUUAUCGUUUAUUUGAUAGUACCUUACUACUUGGAUAACCGUGGUAAUUCUAGAGCUAAUACAUGCUAAAAAUCCCGACUUCGGAAGGGAUGUAUUUAUUAGAUUAAAAACCAAUGCCCUUCGGGGCUCUCUGGUGAUUCAUAAUAACUUCUCGAAUCGCACGGCCUUGCGCCGGCGAUGGUUCAUUCAAAUUUCUGCCCUAUCAACUUUCGACGGCUGGGUCUUGGCCAGCCAUGGUGACAACGGGUAACGGAGGGUUAGGGCUCGACCCCGGAGAAGGAGCCUGAGAAACGGCUACUACAUCCAAGGAAGGCAGCAGGCGCGCAAAUUACCCAAUCCCGACUCGGGGAGGUAGUGACAAUAAAUACUGAUACAGGGCUCUUUUGGGUCUUGUAAUUGGAAUGAGUACAAUUUAAAUCCCUUAACGAGGAACAAUUGGAGGGCAAGUCUGGUGCCAGCAGCCGCGGUAAUUCCAGCUCCAAUAGCGUAUAUUAAAGUUGUUGCAGUUAAAAAGCUCGUAGUUGAACCUUGGGCCUGGCUGGCCGGUCCGCCUCACCGCGUGCACUGGUCCGGCCGGGCCUUUCCCUCUGGGGAACCGCAUGCCCUUCACUGGGUGUGUCGGGGAACCAGGACUUUUACUUUGAACAAAUUAGAUCGCUUAAAGAAGGCCUAUGCUCGAAUACAUUAGCAUGGAAUAAUAGAAUAGGACGUGUGGUUCUAUUUUGUUGGUUUCUAGGACCGCCGUAAUGAUUAAUAGGGACAGUCGGGGGCAUCAGUAUUCAAUUGUCAGAGGUGAAAUUCUUGGAUUUAUUGAAGACUAACUACUGCGAAAGCAUUUGCCAAGGAUGUUUUCAUUAAUCAGGAACGAAAGUUAGGGGAUCGAAGACGAUCAGAUACCGUCGUAGUCUUAACCAUAAACUAUGCCGACUAGGGAUCGGACGAUGUUAUAUUUUGACUCGUUCGGCACCUUACACGAAAGUAAGUUCUGGGUCUGGG